CUACGGGUCGCAGCAGUGGGGAAUAUUGGACAAUGGGGGAAACCCUGAUCCAGCAAUGCCGCGUGUGUGAAGAAGGCCUGCGGGUUGUAAAGCACUUUCGGUUGGGAGGACUGCUUCUAGCACUAAUAUUGUUGGAAGUUGACGUUACCUUCAGAAGAAGCACCGGCUAACUCCGUGCCAGCAGCCUCGGUAAUACGGAGGGUGCAAGCGUUAAUCGGAAUUACUGGGCGUAAAGCGCGCGUAGGCGGCUAGAUCAGUCGGGUGUGAAAGCCCCGGGCUUAACCUGGGAACUGCAUCCGAUACUGGCUAGCUUGAGUACAGGAGAGGAGAGUGGAAUUCCACAUGUAGCGGUGACAUGCGUAGAUAUGUGGAGGAACACCAAUGGCGAAGGCAGCUCUCUGGCCUGAUACUGACGCUGAGGUGCGAAAGCGUGGGGAGCAAACAGGAUUAGAUACCCCCGUAGUC
rnacentral:rRNA from 1 species